GACGAACGCUGGCGGCGUGCCUAAUACAUGCAAGUCGAGCGGACUUACAAAGCUUGCUUUUUAAGUUAGCGGCGGACGGGUGAGUAACACGUGGGCAACCUGCCUGUAAGACUGGGAUAACUUCGGGAAACCGGAGCUAAUACCGGAUAAUCCUUUUCUACUCAUGUAGAAAAGCUGAAAGACGGUUUACGCUGUCACUUACAGAUGGGCCCGCGGCGCAUUAGCUAGUUGGUGAGGUAACGGCUCACCAAGGCGACGAUGCGUAGCCGACCUGAGAGGGUGAUCGGCCACACUGGGACUGAGACACGGCCCAGACUCCUACGGGAGGCAGCAGUAGGGAAUCUUCCGCAAUGGACGAAAGUCUGACGGGGCAACGCCGCGUGAGUGAUGAAGGUUUUCGGAUCGUAAAACUCUGUUGUUAGGGAAGAACAAGUACGAGAGUAACUGCUCGUACCUUGACGGUACCUAACCAGAAAGCCACGGCUAACUACGUG
rnacentral:rRNA from 1 species